AUUGAACGCUGGCGGCAGGCUUAACACAUGCAAGUCGAGCGGAGAUGAGGUGCUUGCACCUUAUCUUAGCGGCGGACGGGUGAGUAAUGCUUAGGAAUCUGCCUAUUAGUGGGGGACAACAUUCCGAAAGGAAUGCUAAUACCGCAUACGUCCUACGGGAGAAAGCAGGGGAUCUUCGGACCUUGCGCUAAUAGAUGAGCCUAAGUCGGAUUAGCUAGUUGGUGGGGUAAAGGCCUACCAAGGACACGAUCUGUAGCGGGUCUGAGAGGAUGAUCCGCCACACUGGGACUGAGACACGGCCCAGACUCCUCCGGGAGGCAGCAGUGGGGAAUAUUGGACAAUGGGGGGAACCCUGAUCCAGCCAUGCCGCGUGUGUGAAGAAGGCCUUAUGGUUGUAAAGCACUUUAAGCGAGGAGGAGGCUACUGAGACUAAUACUCUUGGAUAGUGGACGUUACUCGCAGAAUAAGCACCGGCUAACUCUGUGCCAGCCGCCGCGGUAAGAC
rnacentral:rRNA from 1 species